AUUGUAAUUAUUACUCUAUUGAACCCUACUUCACGCCACCACUUGACAUCUAAAACUAAAUAUAUAUUGAAUUUUGAAAUUAUUCUAUCUCAACUGUUUUCUCUCUCCCUGGUUAAAUUUAUUUUCUUAUCUUCUUCAAGAUCUUUAAACAAAAAAAAAUGUUCUUCAAGAUCUAUUUGUAUUAUCCUCUACAAAUCAAGUUUUAGAUUCAACUCCCCAAACUACAUUCAUCUCCCUAUCAUCAGAUCCGCCAUGUUUCGUUUCCAAAAAGAAGAAACCAUAGACUCUGUCAAGUCCCAUCUCGAUAAUUGCCACCUCCUCACCGCCAUCAAAUACACAGCCUCACCGUCAAACGGAUCAUGGGUCUAUCUCUUCCUCAGACCCUUGUGCUACUCGAUCUCCUCUCAUGUUUUUUCCUCAGGUUCUCUCUCCCAGAUUCACUUAUUUUAAAGACAGAUCUGAAAAAAGAUUUACAGUUUGUAUCUAUCUUUAUUGUAGGUGUGCUCUUUUCCGAUUUAUGAUGGGCAUGGUGGUUGUUUAGCUGCAGAGUUUGCUAAGAAGCAUCUUCACCUUAAUGUUUUUUAGCUGGGUUAUCGUGUGAGUUGCAGAAUUUCUAUAUGAUUGGGAAAGAUAAAAGGACCGAACCUUUUGAAGGGCUCUCAAGCUAGAUAUGACUCUUCAAACAGAGCUCAACUUUUUUGCCAAGAUUGAACAGCUUACACAGAUGCCUCGAAAAUUAGAGAAGGACACACAAGGGAAAAACAUGAAAAUUGUGGUUUGGUGAUUGUGCAACAUCAGCAAUUUUUGGACCCUGCGAGAGAAACAAUCUCAUUCCUACACUGUCAGAAAGCUCCUCAGGAACAGAGACUUGGUAUUCAACUGGAUCAAAGUAAAGCUGGGAAACGGUCGGAAAACCUUGUUCUGGUUUGAAAACUGGAGCCCCUUAGGUUGCAUCAAAGACUUCUUGCAUCUGCCGCCACAGUCGACUUUGGGAACUAGACUACAUGCUACGGUGGCUGACUUAAAUCGGAAUGGUAAUUGGUCCCCACCUAACCCUCGUUCUGAAGAGCAGCUUAUCCUUCACACCCAUCUCACCACCAUCGCUCUUACUGAACUUGAAGAUACCUACUUCUGGCAACCGCAAGAUAUCAAAUUAACAUCCUACUCCACAGGUAUGAUAUACAAUUUAAUCAAGGAACACAAACCUCAAGUUCCUUGGUUGAAAGCGGUUUGGACUUCAAGGGGAAUUCCAAAGCAAAACUUCUUGGCUUGGCUGGUGGUUCUAAACCGUUGUCCAACAAAAGAUAGGAUUCUAGGAUGGGGACUGCAAACGGACCCGGUCUGCGUACUCUGUAACUCUACCGCUGAGUCAAGAGACCACCUAUUCUUUGACUGCCCUUUCUCUUUUACAGUCUGGGAAUUCUUGGCAAGGAAAGCAGGCUGCACUCCCGUGAGACAAUGGUCACACUGCCUAGCCACCAUGCAAGCCCUCAAUAUGCCCCGCCACCUCCGAAUACUCUCCCUCCUAGCUUGGCAGACAACUAUCUACCUCCUCUGGAAUGAAAGAAACACAAGGCUUCAUCGCCAAAUCUUCCGACAACCAGCCUCAAUCUCUAGCACAGCUUUCUCCCUGAUCAAAAACAAGAUUUCUUCUUUCAGAGACAGCAAUCCUCGACUCUCAUCCCUCAUGAUUCAACACUGGCUCUAGUAAUUGCAAAGUCUACGACUGCCUCCUCUCUCCACUUCGACUUCUCGCGUAAACUUCUCCGCUUCACAACUCCUGUUUCCUGACUUUGAUUCCUGUGGUUCUAAUAUUGUAUUGGGCUCAGCCCACUAAACACUGCCCUUGAGGCCUAUCAUAUAUAUAUAUAUAAGAAAGCCUUUUUUCAAAAAAAAAAAAAAAGUGGAUGUGCCGU